GACAGAGGGGGCAAGCGUUGCUCGGAAUUACUGGGCGUAAAGGGCGCGUAGGCGGGAUGGCGAGUCGGUCGUGAAAUCCCUCGGCUCAACCGAGGAACGUCGAUCGAUACUGCUGUUCUUGAGGAUUGCAGAGGAGACUGGAAUUCCCGGUGUAGCGGUGAAAUGUGUAGAGAUCGGGAGGAACACCGGUGGCGAAGGCGGGUCUCUGGGCAAUUCCUGACGCUGAGGCGCGAAAGCGUGGGGAGCAAACGGG
rnacentral:rRNA from 1 species